rnacentral:rRNA from 1 species
UACGUAGGGGGCGAGCGUUGUCCGGAUUUAUUGGGCGUAAAGAGCUCGUAGGCGGCUCGGUAAGUCGGAUGUGAAACCUCCAGGCUCAACCUGGAGACGCCAUCUGAUACUGCCGUGGCUUGAGUCCGGUAGAGGAGCAGGGAAUUCCUGGUGUAGCGGUGAAAUGCGCAGAUAUCAGGAGGAACACCAGCGGCGAAGGCGCUGCUCUGGGCCGGUACUGACGCUGAGGAGCGAAAGCGUGGGAGCGAACAGG